rnacentral:lncRNA from 1 species
CCUUGGGAAGCCCAGGGAAGGGGAGCCACGCGGGAACUGACCCCCACCUCGGGGCUGCUAUUCCGGGCGCCGCUCUCAGGGCCCGGGAAUGUGCGCACACCGAGGGCGCCCUGCUGUGGCUCCUGGAGGGCGCUGCCCUCUCUCCACCGACGCCCAGAUCGCGUCUCCCCGAAGGUUCCUUUUCGCGGCCACUACACCUCCUCAAAUCCCUCUCCCUACCCCUCCCUCAAGGUCACUCGGGGUUGCGGUUGCGGGGUUCCCGCCCCAGGUCCCGACCACCCCGAGCGCAGGGCCCCAGAGCACUGGAGAGAAGCUCGGCCCCAGGGGCCGGGCGUGGGGGGCGGAGAGCCCCUUCCCAGCCUGGCGCAUUCCCGGGCGCUGCUGUCACCAGAGGACGCGCCCCACCCCGCCUCCCGCCCUCUUUGCACGGCCCCGGGCGGCGAGCCGUGGCUUGAUGCUAGCCCUGGUCGAGGAGGUCCCCUUCUCAAGUGGCUGCAGCCGCGCCCUCCUCGACCUCAGGUUCCCCAGCCAGGCAAUGGGGCCCGUGGGGACCUAUCUCCACCGCGAUACUUUGUGCCAGUCUGCAAGGACAGGGUUACCCCAGGGCUCCCCACCAUCCCACCCUUUCCUGGUUUAGCAUCUGCGUACCCUUCAUCUCCCGCCCUGGUAGGGACGCCGCAGGCGCCCUGCACUCGCCCCCUCCCCCUGGCUCCUCCCCGUAGUCCCGGGAUGCCCCUUGGCGAGCGGCUUGAGGAGACUGGGUCACCAAGUGGGCGAAGGGAGGACGGACCUUCUUCAUGGGCUCGGCCGGGGCUCAGCUUGAGUGCCGCCUUCUCCGGGGAGCCCGCUGUGGGGUCUCCCAGCCCAGACCACAGGGAGGGCGCAUUGAAGGUCCUGCUCUGUUCUCCAGGCUGGAGCAGCUCAAAGCAGGGCUGUCCAAUGCCAUUUAUUUGUCCAGAACUUAUUGAGCACUUACUGUGUGCCACUGCGGGCUUCCUGUGUGGUUCAGCGGUAAAGAAUCUGCCUGCAAUACAGGAGACUCUGGUUGGAUCCCUGGGUUGGGAAGAUUCCGUGGAGGAGGGCAUGGCAAACCCACUCUAG